rnacentral:tRNA from 1 species
GGAUCGAUAGCUCAGUGGGAGAGCACGACGCUGAAGACGUCGCGUGCCUCGGUUCGAAUCCGAGUCGAUCCG